UCCGCUCCCUGUCCGAAGCCACGACCAUCCACUACAGAAUUCAACCGUGAAGGACCCGAUGGCAUUUUUCCAUUCCGUAGAAUGUUUCAUAAACGAUUGUUCGUGAUUGGUCAAUUUAUUAUUUAUGUCAUAAUAAAUAAUAAUGAUAUAACUAUGAAAAUUGUUCCGUAUUAUUUGCACGUGCGUCAGGAAACUAACCAGAAAUAACCAGU